rnacentral:sRNA from 2 species
CACCAGGCUUUAACAACCAAGGCUUUGAUAGUGACUAGUUCGCAAAGUCCGAGGGUGGCGAUCUUCGUCGCUUUGGUAUGUUUCGCGAAUGUUCGUCGAACGCAGCCACUCGUUCCGAAUUGGUACCAUCCCACAAUGGCGACCUCUCCUAUCCUUGAGCCGAACAACGGCUUGUUGUCCUUGUGUGUGGACGUGGUCUCGUUUAGUUAGAUAAAAAUUGUAGCACAUCGGGUCCAAAAUCCGGACCGGAAAUGAUUUCUUGUUCGUCCUCGAACUCCAAACUGCAGAUGUCGAGAAGAUAGCCGGAUUAAUUGAAACUCCCGUGGAGUCUACCAGAUCGGCCUACCCAAGGAUUCUCGCCAACGUACCGUGGUAGUGAGUGUAGGAAUUCCAAAUCAGAGAUAUUGGGAAUGAUAUCAUUUUAUCCAUCUCGAUCAAGGCAUCGUUGUUCAAUUUCCUUUGAGUUACUGGAUAGACAGAGGUCCACAGCAAGACCAGAUAGGGAGAUCCAGCUGGGAAGCCGCUCAUGAAGGUGUAGAACACGAAGAAUUCCAGAGAAAGCGUCGAGGUUGUCGACUGGAAUUGUCAACUGCUGAACCGUGUAUAGCUCCACUAAUUUCCCGUAACCA